UGAUGGUUUGGAUGUUGGUUUUAUUCAGCAGUCAGAGGGCUGCCUGCAUUAUGCUGGUUUUGACACAGAUGGCAAUGAUGAUGAUGUUGUUCAACUGCUAGUUUAUGUUCUUAAAGACUAUGACAGCAAAGAAUGGAUACUGAAGCAUAGCGUUGAAACUUCGCAUGUGUUUGGAGGGCGACACAUAGAAGACCUUGAUGAGGAAUUUAAUUGGAUUGCAAUUCAUCCGGAAUGUAACUUGAUCUUCUUCACUGUGGGACAGGAUAUCACAUUCAUGUGCUAUGAUGAUGUUGUUCAACUGCUAGUUUAUGUUCUUAAAGACUAUGACAGCAAAGAAUGGAUACUGAAGCAUAGCGUUGAAACUUCGCAUGUGUUUGGAGGGCGACACAUAGAAGACCUUGAAGAGGAAUUUAAUUGGAUUGCAAUUCAUCUGGAAUUUAACUUGAUCUUCUUCACUGUGGGCCAGGAUAUCACAUUCAUGUGCUGUGAUAUGGAUCGUCGACAAGUCAAAGUGAUAUGCAAUCUUGAAAAAGGCAAGCUGCCAUAUUUUCCAUAUGUGCCGCUAUAUGAAGAGCUACAAUCGUUGCACAAGUGAUGUCUUAUUCAUGCUAUGGAGCAGGGGGCAUGGUAUGUCUGCUUGAAUUUGGUCCUCCUUCCUCUGAUGUAUGCGUGUUUUUAAGUUUGGAGCAAUGGUGGUUCGUUCUGGGGCUGUGGCUGAUUUCUCUUAGACUAGUUAUUCAAAGUUUAAAUGUAUUUUCUGUUGGCUGUACAAGUGUUGUCUCUGUAUUACCAGUGGUUCUGAACAGCAGGAGGUGGUGAUACACUUUGGACGAUUGCAUUGUCACUUUCUUUUGGUGCUAUUUCCUUGUCCUGUGUUUUAAAUAGGUUGUGUUGUUAGCUGAACAUCACAGCUACAAUGCUGCUGUUAAUAGGAAAUAUUGUGGAUCAUAAUGUUCAUCAUGUUGUUAGACAACUUUCGACACAAAAUUGCUCAGAAGACUAGGAAGUCAUCUUUAUCUGUGGGUCUUGUUCACAUAGUAGUUUAAAAAAGUUUAAACUAAGCGAUGUCAAGUACUUUCCUUGUUAGUCUUGCCUAUAAUGGUGCACAUACACUCUACUCCAAUGCGACUCUAAGGGCC
rnacentral:lncRNA from 1 species